CCUACGGGCGGCAGCAGUGAGGAAUAUUGGUCAAUGGGCGCGAGCCUGAACCAGCCAAGUAGCGUGAAGGAUGACUGCCUACUGGUUGUAAACUUCUUUUUUAAAGGAAUAAAGUCAGGCCCGGGUGCCUUUUUUUCUUUACUUUAUUAAUAAGGAUCGGCUAACUCCGUUCCAGCAGCCGCGGUAAUACGGUGGAUCCGAGCGUUAUCCGGAUUUAUUGGGUUUAAAGGGAGCGUAGAUGGGUUGUUAAGUCAGGUGUGAAAGUUUGCGGCUCAACCGUAAAAUUGCAAUUGAUACUGGCAGUCUUGAGUACAGUUGAGGUAGGCGGAAUUCGUGGUGUAGUGGUGAAAUGCUUAGAUAUCACGAAGAACUCCGAUUGCGAAGGCAGCUUACUAAACUGCGACUGACAUUGAUGCUCGAAAGUGUGGGUAUCAAACAGGAUUAGAUACCCGGGUAGUC
rnacentral:rRNA from 1 species